rnacentral:ncRNA from 1 species
GAUCAGCGUGUGCUCUCCUUGGCCGACAGGUCCGGGAAACCCGUUGAACCCCGGUCGUGCUAGGGAUAGGGAAUUGCAAUUAUUUCCCUUGAACGAGGAAUUCCCAGUAAGCGCGAGUCAUUAGCUCGCGUUGAUUACGUCCCUGCCCUUUGUACACACCGCCCGUCGCUACUACCGAUUGAAUGGUUUAGUGAGGUCCUCCGAUUGGACCCGGUCCGGGCGGCGACGUCCGAGCCGGCGUCCGAGAAGACGAUCUAACUUGAUCAUUUAGAGGAAGUAAAAGUCGUAACAAGGUUUCCGUAGGUGAACCUGCGGAAGGAUCAUUA